rnacentral:rRNA from 1 species
AAUCAACGCUGGCGGCGUGCCUCAGACAUGCAAGUCGAACGCGAAAGUCCCCUUCGGGGGGAUGAGUAGAGUGGCGCACGGGUGAGUAACACGUAGGUAAUCUACCUUUGAGUGGGGAAUAACAUCGGGAAACCGAUGCUAAUACCGCAUAAUGCAGCGGCAUCUUGUGAUGACAGUUGUUAAAGGAGCAAUCCGCUUAAAGAGGAGCCUGCGGCAGAUUAGCUUGUUGGUAAGGUAAUGGCUUACCAAGGCGACGAUCUGUAGCCGACCUGAGAGG